GGACGCAGGAGGUGGUUUCCCCCCAGGGUCUCCAGGUGAUGGUAAUGCAGAGCAAGGCUUAGAACGACUGCCCCAAAGGCUUGCUCCGUGUGUUGUGGCCCGGGUUAAGUAGCCUGGCGUCACCUGGGAGCUCGAUUGGCUUGCAUAGCUUCACUGCCCACGCAGGGCCUGAUAAACCAGAGCCUGUGUUUCUCCGAGAUGCCCUUACAGUUUGUCUGGAGUGUCCCGGCUGAGCACCGCCCACCAGAGCUCUCAAACUGGAGCUGCGUCGUAAUCCGGCAUCCCCCCGGAAGGCCCUUAAAACCCGGAUGGCUGGGCCCCGCCCCCAGAGUCGCUAAUCUAGCCUGUGCACUUGCAGCCUGUUCCCAGAAGGCAAGGGUGCUGCCCUUCCAGGGAUGCAAGAGGAUGACCCCGGUGAAGCCCGACGUCCUGUUAGCCCUGCGUCCCCGGCCUGCUCUCACGGCUGCACCGCUAGCCCCAGGCUUCUGCAGCACCUCCCAGAAAGAAGAUGGACUCUCACCCAAACUUUGGUCCAGCUGUCAAGACUGAUAACAACACACACACACUAAGAAAGUAUGGAAAUAUUUAUCCCUUACACAAGGCGGCUUUUUGAGGUGCUCAGCUUCCACUGGCCAGGCUCAGAAGGUCCCUGAAGGGCGCUGGACAAGGGCAGAGGAAGGAGCCACACACAGUCAGGGAGCACAGAUCGCAAAGUAGAUGGAACUAGAGACUUUCCACCACCCCGAGGCCCUCUUAGAAAGGCCCCUUGAUGCCUCUGUUCACCCGGAGCUCAGGGUGGAGGCAGCGGACUCUGGAGCCUGCGUUGGCCUUGCUGAACGAACGCACCAUAUGUCC
ensembl:lncRNA